rnacentral:rRNA from 1 species
UGGGGAAUAUUGCACAAUGGGCGCAAGCCUGAUGCAGCAACGCCGCGUGAACGAUGAAGGUCUUCGGAUCGUAAAGUUCUGUUGCAGGGGAAGAUAAUGACGGUACCCUGUGAGGAAGCCCCGGCUAACUACGUGCCAGCAGCCGCGGUAAUACGUAGGGGGCUAGCGUUAUCCGGAUUUACUGGGCGUAAAGGGUGCGUAGGUGGUCCUUCAAGUCGGUGGUUAAAGGCUACGGCUCAACCGUAGUAAGCCGCCGAAACUGGAGGACUUGAGUGCAGGGGAGGAAAGUGGAAUUCCCAGUGUAGCGGUGAAAUGCGUAGAUAUUGGGAGGAACACCAGUAGCGAAGGCGGCUUUCUGGACUGCAACUGACACUGAGGCACGAAAGCGUGGGUAGCAAACAGG